UAGGGAAUCUUCCGCAAUGGACGCAAGUCUGACGGAGCAACGCCGCGUGAGUGAAGAAGGUUUUCGGAUCGUAAAGCUCUGUUUUUAAGUAAGAACGAGUGUGAGAAUGGAAAGUUCAUACUGUGACGGUACUUAACCAGAAAGGGACGGCUAACUACGUGCCAGCAGUCUCGUUAAUACGUAGGUCCCGAUCGUUGUUCGGAUUUAUUGGGCGUAAAGCGAGCGCAGGCGGUUAGAUAAGUCUGAAGUUAAAGGCAGUGGCUCAACCAUUGUAGGCUUUGGAAACUGUUUAACUUGAGUGCAGAAGAGGAAAGUGGAAUUCCAUGUGUAGCGGUGAAAUGCGCAGAGAUAUGGAGGAACACCAGUGGCGAAGACGACUUUCUGGUCUGUAACUGACGAUGAUGUGCGAAAGCGUGGGGAUCAAACAGG
rnacentral:rRNA from 1 species